GACGAACGCUGGCGGCGUACUUAACACAUGCAAGUCGAACGGAAAGGCCCUGCUUUUGUGGGGUGCUCGAGUGGCGAACGGGUGAGUAACACGUGAGUAACCUGCCCUUGACUUUGGGAUAACUUCAGGAAACUGGGGCUAAUACCGGAUAGGAGCUCCUGCUGCAUGGUGGGGGUUGGAAAGUUUCGGCGGUUGGGGAUGGACUCGCGGCUUAUCAGCUUGUUGGUGGGGUAGUGGCUUACCAAGGCUUUGACGGGUAGCCGGCCUGAGAGGGUGACCGGCCACAUUGGGACUGAGAUACGGCCCAGACUCCUACGGGAGGCAGAAGUGGGGAAUAUUGCACAAUGGGCGGAAGCCUGAUGCAGCAACGCCGCGUGCGGGAUGACGGCCUUCGGGUUGUAAACCGCUUUCGCCUGUGGCGAAGCGUGAGUGACGGUAAUGGGUAAAGAAGCACCGGCUAACUACGUG
rnacentral:rRNA from 1 species